GGGUGACCUCAGAUCAGGUAGGGAUA
rnacentral:rRNA from 3 species